rnacentral:rRNA from 1 species
GACGAACGCUGGCGGCGUGCUUAACACAUGCAAGUCGAACGGAAAGGCCCUGCUUUUGUGGGGUGCUCGAGUGGCGAACGGGUGAGUAACACGUGAGUAACCUGCCCUUGACUUUGGGAUAACUUCAGGAAACUGGGGCUAAUACCGGAUAGGAGCUCCUGCUGCAUGGUGGGGGUUGGAAAGUUUCGGCGGUUGGGGAUGGACUCGCGGCUUAUCAGCUUGUUGGUGGGGUAGUGGCUUACCAAGGCUUUGACGGGUAGCCGGCCUGAGAGGGUGACCGGCGACAUUGGGCCUGAGAUACGGCCCAGACUCCUAUGGUAGGCAGCAGUGGGGAAUCUUACCCAAUGGGCCGGAGCGUGUGACAGCGGCGUCGCGUGCGGGAUGACGUCCUGCUGGUUGUAAACCGCUUUCGCCUGUGACGAAGCGUUAGUGACGGUAAUGAGUAAAGAAGCACCGGCUAACUACGUG